rnacentral:rRNA from 1 species
GAUGAACGCUGGCGGCGUGCCUAAUACAUGCAAGUCGAGCGAACGGACGAGAAGCUUGCUUUUCUGAUGUUAGCGGCGGACGGGUGAGUAUCACGUGGAUAACCUACCUAUAAGACUGGGAUAACUUCGGGAAACCGGAGCUAAUACCGGAUAAUAUUUUGAACCGCAUGGUUCAAAAGUGAAAGACGGUCUUGCUGUCACUUAUAGAUGGAUCCGCGCUGCAUUAGCUAGUUGGUAAGGUAACGGUUUACCAAGGCAACGAUGCAUAGCCGACCUGAGAGGGUGAUCGGCCACACUGGAACUGAGACACGGUCCAGACUCCUACGGGAGGCAGCAGUAGGGAAUCUUCCGCAAUGGGCGAAAGCCUGACGGAGCAACGCCGCGUGAGUGAUGAAGGUCUUCGGAUCGUAAAACUCUGUUAUUAGGGAAGAACAUAUGUGUAAGUAACUGUGCACAUCUUGACGGUACCUAAUCAGAAAGCCACGGCUAACUACGUG